GAUGAACGCUGGCGGCGUGCCUAAUACAUGCAAGUCGAGCGAACAGACGAGGAGCUUGCUCCUCUGACGUUAGCGGCGGACGGGUGAGUAACACGUGGAUAACCUACCUAUAAGACUGGGAUAACUUCGGGAAACCGGAGCUAAUACCGGAUAACAUGUUGAACCGCAUGGUUCAACAGUGAAAGACGGUCUUGCUGUCACUUAUCGAUGGAUCCGCGCCGCAUUUGCUAGUUGGUAAGGUAACGGCUUACCAAGGCAACGAUGCGUAGCCGACCUGAGAGGGUGAUCGGCCACACUGGAACUGAGACACGGUCCAGACUCCUACGGGAGGCAGCAGUAGGGAAUCUUCCGCAAUGGGCGAAAGCCUGACGGAGCAACGCCGCGUGAGUGAAGAAGGUCUUCGGAUCGUAAAACUCUGUUAUUAGGGAAGAACAAAUGUGUAAGUAACUAUGCACGUCUUGACGGUACCUAAUCAGAAAGCCACGGCUAACUACGUG
rnacentral:rRNA from 1 species